GUCGAGCGGUAGCACAGAGAGCUUGCUCUCGGGUGACGAGCGGCGGACGGGUGAGUAAUGUCUGGGAAACUGCCUGAUGGAGGGGGAUAACUACUGGAAACGGUAGCUAAUACCGCAUAACGUCGCAAGACCAAAGUGGGGGACCUUCGGGCCUCAUGCCAUCAGAUGUGCCCAGAUGGGAUUAGCUGGUAGGUGGGGUAACGGCUCACCUAGGCGACGAUCCCUAGCUGGUCUGAGAGGAUGACCAGCCACACUGGAACUGAGACACGGUCCAGACUCCUACGGGAGGCAGCAGUGGGGAAUAUUGCACAAUGGGCGCAAGCCUGAUGCAGCCAUGCCGCGUGUGUGAAGAAGGCCUUCGGGUUGUAAAGCACUUUCAGCGGGGAGGAAGGCGGUGAGGUUAAUAACCUUGUCGAUUGACGUUACCCGCAGAAGAAGCACCGGCUAACUCCGUGCCAGCAGCCGCGGUAAUACGGAGGGUGCAAGCGUUAAUCGGAAUUACUGGGCGUAAAGCGCACGCAGGCGGUCUGUCAAGUCGGAUGUGAAAUCCCCGGGCUCAACCUGGGAACUGCAUUCGAAACUGGCAGGCUAGAGUCUUGUAGAGGGGGGUAGAAUUCCAGGUGUAGCGGUGAAAUGCGUAGAGAUCUGGAGGAAUACCGGUGGCGAAGGCGGCCCCCUGGACAAAGACUGACGCUCAGGUGCGAAAGCGUGGGGAGCAAACAGGAUUAGAUACCCUGGUAGUCCACGCUGUAAACGAUGUCGAUUUGGAGGUUGUGCCCUUGAGGCGUGGCUUCCGGAGCUAACGCGUUAAAUCGACCGCCUGGGGAGUACGGCCGCAAGGUUAAAACUCAAAUGAAUUGACGGGGGCCCGCACAAGCGGUGGAGCAUGUGGUUUAAUUCGAUGCAACGCGAAGAACCUUACCUGGUCUUGACAUCCACAGAACUUAGCAGAGAUGCUUUGGUGCCUUCGGGAACUGUGAGACAGGUGCUGCAUGGCUGUCGUCAGCUCGUGUUGUGAAAUGUUGGGUUAAGUCCCGCAACGAGCGCAACCCUUAUCCUUUGUUGCCAGCGGUUAGGCCGGGAACUCAAAGGAGACUGCCAGUGAUAAACUGGAGGAAGGUGGGGAUGACGUCAAGUCAUCAUGGCCCUUACGACCAGGGCUACACACGUGCUACAAUGGCAUAUACAAAGAGAAGCGACCUCGCGAGAGCAAGCGGACCUCAUAAAGUAUGUCGUAGUCCGGAUUGGAGUCUGCAACUCGACUCCAUGAAGUCGGAAUCGCUAGUAAUCGUAGAUCAGAAUGCUACGGUGAAUACGUUCCCGGGCCUUGUACACACCGCCCGUCACACCAUGGGAGUGGGUUGCAAAAGAAGUAGGUAGCUUAACCUUCGGGAGGGCG
rnacentral:rRNA from 1 species